CAGUAGCCGCGGUAACACGGAGGGUGCAAGCGUUAAUCGGAAUUACUGGGCGUAAAGCGUGCGUAGGCGGUUCGUUAAGUCUGUUGUGAAAGCCCCGGGCUCAACUUGGGAACUGCAUUUGAAACUGUAUGGCUAGAGUGUGUCAGAGGGGGGUAGAAUUCCACGUGUAGCAGUGAAAUGCGUAGAUAUGUGGAGGAAUACCGAUGGCGAAGGCAGCCCCCUGGGAUAACACUGACGCUCAUGCACGAAAGCGUGGGGAGCAAACAGGAUUAGAUACCCCCGUAGUCCCUGUCUCUUAUAC
rnacentral:rRNA from 1 species